UACGGAGGGUGCUAGCGUUGUUCGGAAUCACUGGGCGUAAAGGGCGUGUAGGCGGUCUGUUAAGUCUGAUGUGAAAUCCCCUCGCUCAACGAGGGAACUGCGUCGGAUACUGGCAGACUUGAGUACCGGAGAGGAAGGUGGAAUUCCCGGUGUAGCGGUGAAAUGCGCAGAUAUCAGGAAGAACACCCGUGGCGAAGGCGGCUCUCUGGAACGCAACUGACGCUGAGACGCGAAAGCGUGGGGAGCAAAGCAGG
rnacentral:rRNA from 1 species